UUGUCCGAUCAUCGUUCGUCAACGAAGCGGUGAUAACUUUUCAUCAAAUUUUUCAUUUUGUUCAAUGUUGUGCCAAUAAAUAAAGUAUAUUUGUGUUAUUAUACUCUUCCAAUCAAAUGGAACGUGCUGAUGAAUUAAAUUUCGGUUUAUUAUGUUUGUGAACGUACAUAUGCUUUGUUGUGAGAACCACCUUUAUCUGCUGUCAUUCUAAGUUUGCAAGAAAAUUUUUCGAUAAUGAAACAUAGGUUGUUCACAAAACAGUAACUUGUUAAUAUAGUUAUCACAACAAGACUAAAAGACUAUCCAGCUGUUGAUGUGUCGUUAUGCGAAUAGUGUUUUUCUUCGGAGUAGUGAUCUGGAGAAUGUGCGGUGGCGUUUAGUGUCUCAAGGGGUCAGAGACAGAGUUCAGCAUGGGGACAGUAAAGGAUGAAGAGCGUAUGCGACGUCUACGUUUGCUGGAAGAGAGGCUGUGCGACCCUCGCUCAACCGGCAACGUGGACUGUCUGCUAGACACCGUCACAGCACUGAUAUCGGACUGUGAUCAUCCGGCCAUUCGACGUAUGAAAAAUGUCGAAGCAUACACGAGUAGAUAUGAGGAAUUUGCAUCAGAAAUAGUAGAUCUGCGUAUGAAAGCAGCUGAUUUUGAUCUUAUAAAAGUAAUUGGUCGUGGAGCAUUUGGUGAAGUUCAACUAGUCAGACAUAAAUCAACUCGAUUGGUAUAUGCUAUGAAACUAUUAAGCAAAGUAGAAAUGAUAAAAAGAUCAGAUUCUACUUUUUUCUGGGAGGAAAGACACAUCAUGGCACAUGCAAAUUCUGAAUGGAUUCUAAAACUGCAUUUUGCAUUUCAAGACCAUAAAUACUUGUAUAUGGUCAUGGAUUACAUGCCAGGUGGUGAUUUAGUUAGCCUUAUGUCUAAUUAUGAUAUACCUGAAAAAUGGGCUAAAUUUUACACUAUGGAGAUAGUACUUGCAUUAAAUGUAAUUCAUGGAAUGGGUUUUGUUCAUAGAGAUGUUAAACCUGAUAACAUGCUGAUUGACAAAUAUGGCCAUUUAAAAUUGGCAGACUUUGGUACAUGUAUGAGAAUGGGCCCAGAUGGACUUGUGCGUGCUAGCAAUGCUGUCGGUACACCUGAUUACAUAUCACCUGAAGUGUUACAAUCCCAAAAUGGUGAAGGGGUAUAUGGUCGUGAAUGUGACUGGUGGGCAGUUGGGAUAUUUCUUUAUGAAAUGUUAAUAGGUGAUCCACCUUUUUAUGCUGACAGCUUAGUGGGUACUUAUGGCAAAAUUAUGGACCACAGAAAUUCUUUGCAGUUCCCAGAUGAUAUAGACAUUUCAAAAGAAGCCAAAUCUCUUAUAAGAGGUUUGUUGACUGACAGGGUAAAAAGACUGGGUAAAAACAGUGUAGAUGAAAUCAAGCAACAUCCCUUCUUCAUAAAUGACCAAUGGAGUUUUGAAAAUCUUCGAGAUUCAGUGCCACCUGUUGUUCCAGAAUUGUCUAGUGAUGAUGAUACUAGAAACUUUGAUGACAUUGAAAAGUCGGAUGCCUUAGAUGAAUCUUUUCCUGUGCCAAAGGCCUUUGUAGGAAACCAUUUGCCCUUUGUUGGUUUCACUUAUAAUGGUGAUUAUCAGAUAUGUGGUGGUCGAAUAAAACCAGCCGAUGUGGUGGAUACAAUUUCAAAUAAUCAUAUUAAUAAUGUGGGUUCUGAAGCUAUACUUCAAUUAGAAAAGUUAUUGGAGAGAGAACGAGAUUCAAGAAGGAAAUUAGAAGAUAGACAAGUAAUGCUUUGUAAUCAAUUAGAAGACAUGUCACAAAGAGAAAUGAGAAACAAGAAAAUUAUCGCUGACACAGAUAAAGAACUGGCUUUAUUAAAACAUGAUCUUAAAGAAAUACAACGCAAAGCAGAAAUAGAAGCGGAUUCCAGAAGAAAGGCCGAAAUAAAUUAUAGUGAUAUUAAACGGCGUCUUGAAGAGGAGCAAAGUAAGAGAGUCAAGGAAAUGAGUAGUUUGCAAAUUUAUAAUGAAAAAAUUAAUGCAUUGGAGAAACAAUUAACAGAGAUGCGUGAAAAAUUGAAACAAGAAUCUGAGGCAGCAGCAAAAUCACGAAAGCAGGCUGCAGAGUUAAGUGCAGCUCAAGCUGCGGCAGCUGCUGCGAGUGACGGUACGGUGGCGAGCCUUAGGGCGCAGCGAGACGCUUUAGAGAGAGAAUGUGGUGCUUUAUCUGAGGAGCUCGGUUCUGUCAAGGCUGCUAAGCAACGUUCGGACGCUUCCGUUUCUGAAGCUACUAAUAGAUUAAAUGCUGCACAUUCAGAGCUAGAAAGAUCAUCAAUGAGGAUUAACCAAAUAUUAACAGACAAUAGGCAGCUCUCUGAGCGUGUUUCUUCAUUAGAGAAGGAAUGCACUUCUUUAGCACAUGACUUGAGAACGUCACAACAUCUUUACCAACAAGAAGUGCGGGCUCAUCAGGAGACCCAAAGAUCUCAAUUGCUUUCCAAGCAGGAAGCAAACUUGGAGCUAGUCAAAGACGUGGAUCAUGCGAUUGUUCAUCCAACAGCAUUACAAGGCAAGUUGAAUGAAGAGAAGACAGCAAGGCAGCGAGCGGAAGCUGGCUCUCAGGAGAAGGAUCGACAGAUGUCCAUGCUGAAUGUAGACUACAGGCAGAUGCAACAGAGGUUGCAGAAACUUGAGGGAGAACACAGACAAGAAAGUGAAAAGGUGGCUGGUUUACAAGCUGCACUAGAGCAAGAGCGCGCGGCCCGCCUGUCCGCCAGCUCGGAGACCGCCGCAGCGGAGAGCGCAGCCCGCGCGGCCGCGGCGGAGCGGGACGCGCGCGCGCGCGACCUGCACGCGGUGCGGUCCGCGCUGCACGACGCCACCGAGAAGCUGGCGGCCGCCAGCGCGGAGCGCGACAUGCACUACGCGAGGAGCGAGGAGUUACGCUCCCAGCUCGAGAGCGAGCAGCACUACUGCGUGAUGUACCGUACGCAGGCGAACGACGCUCGCUCGCAGCUCGACGAGAGUGCGCGUGCGAACCGCGACCUUGAACAGGAGCGGGCCAGUCUCAUGCACCAGCUGCAACUGGCCAUCGCCAGGGCGGACUCGGAGGCGAUUGCGAGGUCAAUAGCGGAGGAGACGGUCGGCGAGUUGGAGAAGGAGAAGACGAUGAAGGAGCUGGAGAUGCGCGAGGCGCUGGCGCAGCACCGCAGCGAGCUGGCGGCGCGCGACGCGCUCGUGCAGGGGCUGCGGGACCGCGACCACGAGAACCGCGCCACCAUCGACCUGCAGCGGAAGGAGGUGGACGAGCUCCGUCGCAGCGGCACGGCGCUGGCGGAGCGCGUGGCGACGCUGCAGCGGCUGCAGGACGACGUCGACCGUCUCAACAAGAAGCUCAACUCAGAGAUCAUGCUCAAGCAGCAGGCCGUCAACAAGCUCGCUGAGAUUAUGAACAGAAAGGACAUGAACCCGGCGUCCACGAAGAACAAGAGCAAGAUGUCGGUCCGCAAGGACAAGGACUACCGCAAGCUGCAGCAGGAGCUGACGCGCGAGAAGGAGAAGUCGGACCAGCACAUUGCGAAGCUCCAGCGGGACCUGCAGGAGUCCCAGCAGCAGCUGCUUGAAGAGCAGCAGACCAGGCUCCGGCUGGCUAUGGAGGUGGACAGCAAAGACGCGGAAAUCGAGCAGCUCAAGGAGAAACUCGCCGCGCUAACAAGCGAAACAGCGUCACAGUCGUCUGCCGACGCGGAGGACGGGGAAACGGAACAGACCCUCGAGGGCUGGCUCUCUGUGCCCUUCAAGCAGAACAUACGCCGCCACGGGUGGAAGAAGCAGUAUGUCGUCGUGUCCUCGAAGAAGAUCAUAUUCUACAAUAGCGAGAACGAUAAGCAGAAUACCACGGAUCCCGUGAUGAUAUUGGAUUUGAGCAAAGUGUUCCACGUGCGCUCAGUGACGCAGGGCGACGUGAUCCGCGCGGACGCGAAGGACAUCCCGCGCAUCUUCCAGCUGCUGUACGCGGGCGAGGGCGAGGCCCGCCGGCCCGGCGACGCGCAGGAGCAGCCCGCCGACGGCGCUGAGCACGCCGCAAACACAGUGCAGCACAAGGGCCACGACCUGGUCAGCAUCACGUACCACAUCCCGACCGCGUGCGAGGUGUGCACGCGCCCGCUCUGGCACAUGUUCCGUCCGCCGCAGGCCUACGAGUGUCGACGUUGCCGCAUGAAGGUGCACGCGGAGCACGUGACGGAGGCGGGCGGCGAGGGCGUGGCGGCGUGCAAGCUGCACGCGGACCGCGCGCGCGAGCUGCUGCUGCUGGCGCCCGCCGCCACCGAGCAGCGCCGCUGGGUGGCGCGCCUCGCCCGCCGCGUGCAGCGCUACGGCUACCGCGCCGCGCACACCAACCACGACCUCACCAAGCUGUCGCCCAGGUAACUGCGCGCGAGCUGCUGCUGCUGGCGCCCGCCGCCACCGAGCAGCGCCGCUGGGUGGCGCGCCUCGCCCGCCGCGUGCAGCGCUACGGCUACCGCGCCGCGCACACCAACCACGACCUCACCAAGCUGUCGCCCAGGUAACUGCGCGCGAGCUGCUGCUGCUGGCGCCCGCCGCCACCGAGCAGCGCCGCUGGGUGGCGCGCCUCGCCCGCCGCGUGCAGCGCUACGGCUACCGCGCCGCGCACACCAACCACGACCUCACCAAGCUGUCGCCCAGGUAACUGCGCGCGAGCUGCUGCUGCUGGCGCCCGCCGCCACCGAGCAGCGCCGCUGGGUGGCGCGCCUCGCCCGCCGCGUGCAGCGCUACGGCUACCGCGCCGCGCACACCAACCACGACCUCACCAAGCUGUCGCCCAGGUAACUGCGCGCGAGCUGCUGCUGCUGGCGCCCGCCGCCACCGAGCAGCGCCGCUGGGUGGCGCGCCUCGCCCGCCGCGUGCAGCGCUACGGCUACCGCGCCGCGCACACCAACCACGACCUCACCAAGCUGUCGCCCAGGUAACUGCGCGCGAGCUGCUGCUGCUGGCGCCCGCCGCCACCGAGCAGCGCCGCUGGGUGGCGCGCCUCGCCCGCCGCGUGCAGCGCUACGGCUACCGCGCCGCGCACACCAACCACGACCUCACCAAGCUGUCGCCCAGGUAACUGCGCGCGAGCUGCUGCUGCUGGCGCCCGCCGCCACCGAGCAGCGCCGCUGGGUGGCGCGCCUCGCCCGCCGCGUGCAGCGCUACGGCUACCGCGCCGCGCACACCAACCACGACCUCACCAAGCUGUCGCCCAGGUAACUGCGCGCGAGCUGCUGCUGCUGGCGCCCGCCGCCACCGAGCAGCGCCGCUGGGUGGCGCGCCUCGCCCGCCGCGUGCAGCGCUACGGCUACCGCGCCGCGCACACCAACCACGACCUCACCAAGCUGUCGCCCAGGUAACUGCGCGCGAGCUGCUGCUGCUGGCGCCCGCCGCCACCGAGCAGCGCCGCUGGGUGGCGCGCCUCGCCCGCCGCGUGCAGCGCUACGGCUACCGCGCCGCGCACACCAACCACGACCUCACCAAGCUGUCGCCCAGGGAUUCAAUGCGGUCGAACUUGAAGGUUGCGUACAUGAACGCGUCGCAGCGCAGCUCCACGCUGCCCGCCAACGCGUCGCUCCCAAGACAGUGACUGAACUCGACCGAUACAACCCUUACCAACCAAUACCAAUUAAAUCAAUAUCAAUUAAACUACUUAAAACGGUCAGGAUAUAUCAAAGUUUCAUAUGUAUGAAACAAUCCGCUCACGAGGAGUAUCGACUCCAUUACGAAACGACCUUAGUUCAAUUUAAGACGAUUCCGACGUGGCCUACGACUAUUACUAUUACGUAACUCUCUGGUGCAUACUAAGGCCUCACGUUAGACUUUAAAGGCAUAUUUAAGUCGCAUUUUUUUAAUUUCAUUCAAUCGUUAUUACCUUUUGAUUAUUAUUGUUACGUCACCGAUACGAAUGAAAGUUUUAUGUAUUAAGAUAUGUAUAUACCAGUUUACCUAGUCCAUAGAUUUCAUCCGUCGUCCAAAUUUUUUGUCCAAAUUUAUUGUCAGCAUUAUCGCUGUGAUAGUUUAUUUCGUGUACUUAUUUUGUUUGAUUUUUUUUACUAAAUUUAGUUACUAAGUAUAGAUCUGAAGAUGAGAAUUUGACUUAUUGGUUAUUUUUUAAUUUGAAUUAAAAUUUGUUUAGAUAUUUUUUUUUAUACAAUAAUAAUGGAACAGUUUUGAUAAUUUGAAUUCUGAAAAAAUACUGGACAUGAAUAUAGCUAAGAAAGCUUUAUGAUGAUUUCUUGUACUAUUAGUGAAAGACGGUACAUUAUAAAUUAUAUAAGCGUCAAUUUUAAAAGAAAAGACUUAAUUCUCGUUUAUUGUUCAUGACACUUGCUCAUAAUAUGUUUUCUAUAAUAUAUACAUAAAUAUAACAACAAAUUCAAGCAACCCCGUUUAUGGGAAAUAUGACUUAAAAUAUAUGAUUAUAUGAACUGAAAUUAAAUGACAAACUCCUCAACAUUGGAGAUCAGAUAAUAUCGUAAUGGAAUUUUUUGGAAAGUAUAUUUUAACGUUUCAAUUUCUUGUUUGCUUUUGUAAAUAUAAUUAUGAAGUUACAUUUGUGUUGAUAUUAUGACAAUUUUGUAUUUUUUCUUAUUUUAUAAUAUUAUGUAAUAUAUAGGUAUGCGUUUGGAAAAGAUAGGUUUUUGAAAUUGUUGGUGCGGACUUGUGCUUUAAAACGUUUUGCAUGCGAGAUACUAUCGGGAAAGCUUAGCUUAGAAAGUGGUUCGAUAAAUACACUCAAAUCUCAGAACUAUUCGUGAAUGUAACAUAUGACAAUAUAAUUGAAUUAUAACCCCACUAUAACAUAUAUUUUUAUACAGUAGCUCGGUCACUUUACCUAUUUAUCUCGUAGUUUUAGACGUUUUGUAAAUAUGAAUAAUUGGAGAUUCAUAAAACAGUUUUACGCGAGACUGACGGUCAAUUACCAUAGCUAUAGUUAUAAAAUGCUUUGAUGAUUCAAUUGAAAACCGCAUCGCGUAAAGUACACAUUUUUAUUAUAUACGUAAUCACUUUUAAUAUAAACACAUAAGCCGAUGGGAAUUGAGUAGAAUUUAUUUACAGAAGUGCACUGGUUAUGCGACAGCGGCUGCUGUUACACCCAUGUCCGUGUAUUGAUUAUUAUACAAGUGAAUAUUUGGGCACAAUAUAUAGAUUAAGAACAUUGAAGUCACUCCUUGCUACAUGCAUACUAACGAAUACGAGUGCCAUAAGUGUUACUGAAAAUUCACAUUUUGCUCAAACUUAAAUCUUCUCAUUCGAAUGAGUAAUUAAUUCAAACCGGUAAUAUUUUGUUUUGGUCCUACCAAAAUAAUGUUAUCGAUUGUUUACAAUUUUAAAAUCAAUAUUUUUGAUAUCAUUCGAAAAUUAGUCCGUUAAUAAGGAAAUAACACUGCCUAAGCGUUAUGUAAUAAUUUUCUGCCUUACAGUGAAAGCAAUAAUGUCUUUAAGCUUUGAAUUUUUGCGAAGUAUAUUACAUUUUGGAUAAGUGGGUGCCAAAUUGUUUUCAGCGUGUCUCCGUGCCCUUAAACCAUUUUUUACAAAGAAAUUAAUGUACAAAUGUAAUGUGUAUUUAUUAUAAUAACUAUUGGGCUUACGCAUGGUUGUGUAAAUUAACACCAAUUAAGUGAUAAUUAAGUUUAUGUGUCAAAUAGUGAAUUACCAAUGUGUACUCUUGUUAUAAUCUUUAGUCGUGAUUUUUAAAGUACAAAUCAAUUGUUGAAGUACACUUUGCGGAUUUGAUCAUCUCUUCCUUUUGUGUUCAACUUUGUUUUAAGCUUUGGUUGAACAAAUAGUGACGUUGGUAAACUUGUUUUUCUGAUAAUGAAGGUGAUUUAAGCCAUUUAAGUGAAGUUUAUUAAACUCGCUAUUUAUUACAAUCAAAGCUAAUUAGUUAAUGUUUUUUAAAUAAGAAUAACCGAGGAGUGAAAUAGAACUGGCAUCGAAUGCAGGGAACGCUUAAGGCGGGGCAGGAAGCGGGCUCGGAGCUGUGAUAUGUAACGUCGCCAACACCCGUGGUGCUAAUGAAUGCUGGCCUCCAACGCAUUGUUGUUACUGUGCUUCUCGUUAAAUGUUAAAUUUGCCUUUUUAUUGCUCUACAAACUGUUAACAUUCCUACAUAAAGCUACAUUGUUUUGUUUACUUUAGUUUUACGUCGACUCGAGUUAUCUUCUGUCGCUCGAUCAGUUAUCCGCUUCUAUAUUUUUAUAGGUUAAGCUCAGAAGCCUCUGUCGUAGUUUAUUGUCUAAGAUCCGAACAUAAGGCGAAAUUCAACGGCGUGACAAUAGAAUGAGACCAAUUUUAUAAUUAAUUUAGUCUAUUAAAAAUGUAUUAAAAAUGGGUUGACUUGGAAAAUCCUGGACAGGACAUUUUUAAUGAAUUAAA